rnacentral:rRNA from 1 species
UACAGAGGUCCCAAGCGUUGUUCGGAUUCAUUGGGCGUAAAGGGUGCGUAGGCGGCGCGGUAAGUCGGGUGUGAAAUCUCGGGGCUUAACUCCGAAACUGCAUUCGAUACUGCCGUGCUUGAGGACUGGAGAGGAGACUGGAAUUUACGGUGUAGCGGUGAAAUUCGUAGAUAUCGGGAGGAACACCAGUGGCGAAGGCGGCGAUCUGGACAGAUAUUGACGCUGAGGUGCGAAAGCGUGGGGAGCAAACAGG